ACUCCUACGGGAGGCAGCAGUGGGGAAUAUUGGACAAUGGGGCAACCCGUGCAUCCAGCAAUGCCGCGUGUGUGAAGAAGGCCUGCGGGUUGUAAAGCACUUUCAGUAGGGAGGAAGGUAGUGUAGUUAACACCUGCAUUAUUUGACGUUACCUACAGAAGAAGCACCGGCUAACUCCGUGCCAGCAGCCGCGGUAAUACGGAGGGUGCGAGCGUUAAUCGGAAUUACUGGGCGUAAAGCGCAUGCAGGCGGCCUGUUAAGUCAGAUGUGAAAGCCCGGGGCUUAACCUCGGAAUUGCAUUUGAAACUGGCAGGCUAGAGUCUUGUAGAGGGGGUGAGAAUUGUCAGGUGUAGCGGUGAAAUGCGUAGAGAUCUGAAGGAAUACCAGUGGCGAAGGCGGCCCC
rnacentral:rRNA from 1 species